AAGUCGUAACAAGGUUUCCGUAGGUGAACCUGCGGAAGGAUCAUUAACAAGAAGAAUAUUGGUUUACUGAGUGUUAGUUGGGAUGGUGGUUGGGAGACUGACUGUCAUGCUUUCUAACAUUCUUUUAUAUCAAACACUAAUGUGAAUAGGAACUUGUGGCAAAACAAUGGAAGGAUAACAACCAUUUUUUAUUAAACUCUUUAAACCUCAAACAAAAGAUAAACAAAAACAAAAAUAAAAUCCAAUGUCACAAUUGGAAAUAAAAGUUUUAAAUAAAAUGAACAACUUUUAACAAUGGAUAUCUUGGUUCUC
rnacentral:misc_RNA from 1 species